GGCGGUGCCACAGCUCAGGGAUAUUCUAACGGGUAGCAUUAUGAAAGCUAGCAAGCUGAGCCCAUGUCCACACUUGGCUAGUGGCAGACCCAAGGGGCAAACGACCUGACCAAGCAGCAGCAACUCCUCCAUCUAAAGCAAAGAAACAGAGAACUUUGGAGAGCAAACGGGUGAAAAGGGAAAGCGCUAGAGCCCGGGUCAAGACGAGAGUGAACCUCGGAUUUGCAUUCACACAGUGGAGAGAACUCGCGUGGGGAGUUGAAGAGAUUCAAAACCGACCCAGAGUUAGCAUUUUUUCUGCUGAAAAGGUGAAAAAAAUGAGCAUUUGUGAGGACCCUGUGACUGUAGACGACGACGAGGCCAAAGACCUAAUGUAACAGCGUUAUAGACUGCGAAGACCUGGGUGCCUUCUGAUGACCAGUGGGAGACUUCCGAUGAGGAUUGGGAACCAGAUGACAACCGCUCCGACGAUAGUUCUGAUGAUGGUUCCCCCUCUUUUUGUGCAGUACGUGCCACAGUAUGAGUUUCUCUUUGAUAUAAUAUGAUUUGAUGAGGAAGUGUCUUCAUAACUAUAUGAUGGUUGUCUUUGUCCACACAGAACUGGCGGUGCACUUCAGAAUCCACCAUGCAUAGAGACACUUCCUGUCAUUGGGCUGUAUGAAUACGUGCGUGAUGCAGUGGAUCGUGCGGAGUCUCCAGAACGGAUGUGGCGUCUUUUUGCAGGGCAUCAGCAAGUAAUGUGUGAAGAUGACAUUGUCGGCCAGCAUCGUCUAUCACCUACGACGAGAACUUCAGGCAGCUUGCUACUCUUCUUCAGCUUCCUAUACACAAGUGCACAUACAAAGAAUAUGGAACUGGUGUGUAGUGUGAUGGCUUUCCACUUACUUUGAGUAUUGAUGCCAUACUAUGCCAAUAUAUUUGCCUACAGAACAGAGAUAUUACUAUGUUUUUUCCUCAUUUGAGCUGUCUGGCUAAGAUGUAGACAGUCCUAGCCCAAAAGCUACACAUGUAUUGAGUAUAAGACUAACAUUACAUUAUAUUGAAUGACUGGAAAUAUUCAUUCUUCAUUCUGCCUAAUAUCUGCCUCCUCCAAUUAUCCCAAAAUACUAACUCCCUUCAUCCUAAACUGAAUGUAUUUAACAUGGAAUAUAAUGCAAUUCCUCUCAUAGUUGUCAAAUGAUAAAAUCAUAUUCGGAUUAGGAUUGAUGGAGCAUGUUUGAUUUGUUGUCUAAUUUAGCUUUACGUCUGAGCUGGAGUCCUUCCAGAACCACAUAGCUACUCAUGUAAGCGGUUUGCUUUCCCUACUCCAGUCUAUGAGGCUGGAACCCUCACUGGCAGCACUUGACUGAACCAUAGUAACCAUUGUCCAGCAUUGGAGAACGCAGAGGGCAACAAGACAUACACUACCGGUCA